AUUGAACGCUGGCGGCAGGCCUAACACAUGCAAGUCGAACGAGUGGCGGACGGGUGAGUAAUGUCGGGGAAACUGACUGAUGUAGGGGGAUAACUACUGGAACCGGUAGCUAAUACCGCAUAACAUCCGAUGUGCCCAGAUGGGAUUAGCUAGUAGGUGGGGUAAUGGCUCACCUAGGCGACGAUCCCUAGCUGGUCUGAGAGGAUGACCAGCCACAAUGGAACGGAGACACGGUCCAGACUCCUACGGGAGGCAGCAGUGGGGAAUAUUGCACAAUGGGCGAAAGCCUGAUGCAGCCAUGCCGCGGGUGUGAAGAAGGCCUUCGGGUUGUAAAGCACUUUCAGCGGGGAGGCGUUACCCGCAGAAGAAGCACCGGCUAACUCCGUGCCAGCAGCCGCGGUAAUAC
rnacentral:rRNA from 1 species